rnacentral:lncRNA from 1 species
UAAAACCAAAAUCGAUUGAAUGCUUUCGAGAAUAUGCCAUUCGUUGGAGGGAAGAAGCUGCUAGGGUGCACCCACCUAUGGAGGAAUCAGAAAUGAUCACCUACUUCAUUCAAGCUCAAGACUCAGAAUACUAUGAGCGUAUGGUGACAAUGGGUGGAAAGACAUUUGCAGAAGUUAUCAAAGCUGGAGAAAUGAUUGAAGACGGUCUCAAAACUGGCCGAAUAGUGAGUUACACCUCAUCUCAGUUUGCUAACAGGGCCUAUCAAACUGGUUCACUUGGAAAGAAAAAGGAGAAAGAAGUUAUGAUGUUAACAACUCGAGGAAAUACAUCAUAUAACCGUCAACCACCACCAGCCUAUCCCAGUUCACAAUACUAUAUUUGCAACAAUCAAGCAACAUUUCGUCCUCCACGACCAAUGCAAAAUCAUCGAAACGAUGCACCUCGUCCCAAUUUUGAGAAAAAGCCUACUCGAGACUUCACUCCAUUGUGUGAGACACGGACUCAACCUUUUGAGAGAUUGAAAGAGGCAGGAAUACUCCAUCCAGUAAAAGCCAAGACUGUGAACACUUCAGCCAAGUGGUAUGACCCAAAUAAGUGUUGUGCUUAUCAUUCAGGAGUUGUCGGACAUGGUACCGAGAAAUGUAUCACUCUGAAACAUAAAAUUCAAGAUCUGAUUGACAACGAGGUGGUAAAACUGGCACAUGCUCCACCCAAUGCGAACACCAAUCCACUACCUAGGCACAAGGAGUAGUUGUUGGCAUAAUCAGUUGCAAAGAAGAAGUAAGUUUCCUGGAAGUCGCACUUUUGGUGUCUUUUAGUCUUGCAUUUUAGAGUUUGGUGCUUUAUUUCCUUGUAAUCGCGCUUUAUCAUUUUGUUUUCUUUGUAAUCGUACGUUGGUUUGAUUUUAUCUGUAACCCCUUUUAUCUAUAAAUGAACUACAUUUGACCUGAAUUCUCAAGAAUGAGAUACGUAGGGGGCCUAUGUCAGCUUCGGUCACUUCUUUAUUCCCUUUUUAAUGUUUCCUUGUAUGUGAACUACGUUCGACCUGAUUUCCCUAGUGGAAUACGUAGGCGGUGUUCACAGGCUUCGGUCACAUUAUCAAAAAAAUAUUUCAAUUUCUCUUUAUUUUGGAACUACGUUUGACCUGAUUUCUACUCAACGGGAUACAUAGGCGCCACACCGGCUCUGUCAUAUUCCUCGUAAGAUUUUCAUUUCUCUUUAUAAUGAAAACUGGGGCGGAAUUUUGAGAGCAUCUCAAAAUUCGUUGGAAGAGGAAAUUUUUCCAACAAGGUUGAAUCAAUGAUUACAUCAAAGUUGCAACUGGGGCACAAUUUUUGAGAUUCACUCAAAAAUUCAACCAAAAAACUACAGAAAGUUCAAAGGUUAUGUUAUGUUUCAAACCGUGGCAGAACUUUUGAGGAGGUCCUCAAAAAUUCCAUCAAGCGACAUUUCAAGACCGGACAAGCUUGUAAUCCAAAAGGCAGAGGAGCAUCAGGAUGGCAAGGCAAAGCCAACAUGAAUCAGUCUCUCAAAACUAAGAAUUUUUCUUUGGAUGCAGGAAUUACAAAGUUACAAGGCAUCAUUAGACCCACAGUUGCCUCAUGGAAUAGCUUGGCACAAUGAAGAAGACAAGACGUUAUUUAGACCAAUGUAUCAUUACCAGAAUUGAAGGAUAUUAUAUUGGAGCAUCACUUCCCUCAACGUGACACGUUAAAUUAUUAUUGGAGCGUCACUUCCUUCAACGUGACACAGUAAUAUUUUGGAGUGUCACUUCGUUCAACGUGAUAUGUUAAAUUAUUAUUGGAGUGUCACUUCCUUCAACAUGAAAUGUUGUUAUAUUGGAGCGUCACUUCCUUCAAAGUGACACAUUAAAUUAUUAUUGGAGAGUCACUUCCUUCAACGUGACAAGUUAUAUUAUUAUUGGAGCGUCACUUCCUUCAACGUGACACAGUAAUAUUUUGGAGUGUCACUUCGUUCAACGUGAUAUGUUAAAUUAUUAUUGGAGUGUCACUUCCUUCAACAUGAAAUGUUGUUAUAUUGGAGCGUCACUUCCUUCAAAGUGACACAUUAAAUUAUUAUUGGAGAGUCACUUCCUUCAACGUGACAAGUUAUAUUAUUAUUGGAGCGUCACUUCCUUCAACGUGACACAGUAAUAUUUUGGAGUGUCACUUCGUUCAACGUGAUAUGUUAAAUUAUUAUUGGAGUGUCACUUCCUUCAACAUGAAAUGUUGUUAUAUUGGAGCGUCACUUCCUUCAAAGUGACACAUUAAAUUAUUAUUGGAGAGUCACUUCCUUCAACGUGACAAGUUAUAUUAUUAUUGGAGCGUCACUUCCUUCAACGUUAAUCCUACCAAUUGGCGUACUUGGGAUGAUCUAGCAAAUGCUUUUGUGGAUCACUACUAGUUUCAUGUUGAAAUCGCUCCUGAUAGGAUCUCUAUUACCAAGCUAAAACCAAAUUCGACUGAAUGCUUUCGAGAAUAUGCCAUUUGUUGGAGGGAAGAAGCUGCUAGAGUGCACCCAUCCAUGGAGGAAUCAGAAAUGAUCACCUAUUUCAUUCAAGCUCAAGACUCAGAAUACUACGAGCGAAUGGUGACAAUGGGUGGAAAAACAUUUGCUGAAGUUAUCAAGGCUGGAGAAAUGAUUGAAGACGGUCUCAAGACUGGCCGAAUAACGAGUUACACCUCAUCUCAGUUUGC